GCCCGCGUGGUGCAGUUGGUAAGACUGUUACCCAGGGUAGCACUGUUAGAUGUGCUGUAGGUUCGAAUCCUGCCGCUGGCA
rfam:Ajellomyces capsulatus H88 supercont1.6 genomic scaffold, whole genome shotgun sequence.